CAUCAGCUUCCCCUCUGCAAAGAAUUCAGUGAUGGAAAUUAGGAAGACCUUGGACUUAAUAGGCUCUGUGCAUGCGAUUGGCUAAGGGUACAAUGGGCCUUUGAUGAUUGCGGUAAGAACACGGAGCGCGUCUCCAGUUGGCAUGGAGCUUCUCUUCUUGUCGCUAAGGUAAACGGAGCAUCGUGAUGUCUGUGGGGGCGGGUAAUGAGGCACAAAGGUCUGGUCCAUCAGGACUGGAAGGAGGUGAGAAAAUGGCCCUGACACUCCUUGUCUGAAGACACUGUGAAUAGAGUCUUUGCCCACAGUAUCCAGCCCUCCUGUGCAAGCAGGCUCCCGGCCAGACGCUCUUGAAAGCAGCGUUUCCAGACCCCGAAGAAAACCUCUCUUCGGCUUUUCUGAUACCUUAGGACACAUUUUGCUAACGGAUGCACAAAAUAAAUGGAGAUGAACCACAGAUGUUCCCAGAUACAGUUCAGCGCCCCGGCAGUUGGAAGGCGUGAUGCUGAAUGCAGUUCCCGGUGAAGGAGCUGGGUGGCACUACCUUCCCCGCUGGGGAGGAGUGCUGUCUCUGAAAUGGCUCACGGCAGAGCAUACCUUGAAAGCUGUCA